rnacentral:rRNA from 1 species
UACGGAGGAUCCGAGCGUUAUCCGGAUUUAUUGGGUUUAAAGGGUGCGCAGGCGGGAGAUUAAGUCGGCGGUGAAAUUUUGCAGCUCAACUGUAAAAGUGCCUUCGAAACUGGUUUCCUUGAGUGUAGAUGAAGUAGGCGGAAUUUGUGGUGUAGCGGUGAAAUGCAUAGAUAUCACGAGGAACUCCGAUUGCGCAGGCAGCUUACUAAACUACUACUGACGCUCAGGCACGAAGGCGUGGGGAUCAAACAGGAUUAGAUACCUCGGUA